UACGUAGGGUGCGAGCGUUGUCCGGAAUUAUUGGGCGUAAAGAGCUCGUAGGCGGUUUGUCGCGUCGACUGUGAAAACCUACAGCUUAACUGUGGGCUUGCAGUCGAUACGGGCAGACUUGAGUUCGGUAGGGGAGACUGGAAUUCCUGGUGUAGCGGUGAAAUGCGCAGAUAUCUGGAGGAACACCGGUGGCGAAGGCGGCAUCCUGGACCAACACUGACGCUGAGGAGCGAAAGCCAGGGGAGCAAACGGG
rnacentral:rRNA from 1 species